ACGAUGGGUGUGUUAGUUUUGGUCGGGAAAGAUUACAUCAAAGGACCAUACGGCACGAUGAUGAGAUUGCAAAAAUCGUGUAGAGGUGCUGAAUAAAGAGAGGUUUUACAACCAAAAGGCCUGCACAAAAUCAAUUAACUUUGGAAUUAGGUUGGGUUAAAUUGGUGCCAAGAAUCUUGCAUUGCUUUUACGGUAGUUGUUUGCUUUUCCAUAGACGAUUGCCCAUUUUCUUGCUCUAAUGAAUAUGCAUGCCAACAGGCAGCGAAAAGAGAAAAAUCAUCAGAUCAAUGGCCAAAUGUAUCGAUAACUUAUGCAGACUCCAAGAAAGUUAUUAGAAGUGCGAGCGUAGAUGAUGACGAACCUGUACUACUUUCUUGUGUGAAAGCACUACUAUUUCCAUGUAUAUAGAAUAUGUCAUUUGCUGUAUGAAAGAUAUUUUAGCGAAAAGUAUGUAUGUAUAGGCAAAAGAAUCUCUAAAAGAAGCUUGAUUAUUGUACAAAAUUUUGUGUGUGUAUAUUUUAAAACUUGAUUAACG
rnacentral:lncRNA from 1 species